rnacentral:lncRNA from 1 species
CUUAGGCACGAACGUUUGUGGUGGUCUGAGUGCCGCCGUUUUUUAAACAAAGCAGAACUAACAGCUAUGCUUUGUUUUCCUUGCAACACACCACCAAAAGUGCUCUGGAACACACCUAAGAGUUUUUGAAGGUGCUCUUUGGUUUAAGAGGACCAUGUUAGCAAAGAAAACGCUAUAUACAGUGAUUUUGGUUCACUUUGUUUUAAUCUGUUGUGCUGGGGAUCAGUCAUUCGAGCAAGUAGUGACCGAGGAAUACUGGAACGAGGUUGAAGAACAGGACAACCAACGCAAUAACGAAAUAAUUUGCUGGUUCAACAAUAGGAUCCUAAAAGUUGGUGAAAAACUGAGCAACAACUGUGUAUGCAGAAAGUCUGGUUAUAUUGUGUGCCCGUAGAGUUUAAAAGCAACGGCUGGCGUUUAUAAAGACGCUACUAACUGAAACACUGACGACGAUGGUGCCACUAGAAAAUCACUUUACCUGACUCAGUGGACAAACUGUUUUUCAAAACGGACAUUUUCUGGCUACCUAAUUUUAUUUUUGGACGAGAUAAACACUUGAAAGCACUGUCGCUUGACAAGAGUUUAGACGAGUUACGCGAUCAGUUCUUUCGCAUGAUUUUUUCCGUGAAUCUAACUUUGUAUACUGUGACGAAUAAAGAAAUUGUAUCUUAUAUUCA